CAGCAAAACAACACCGAGGGGGAGGGAACUUUCGGACAGCAGUCAUAUUUUGAAGAAACAUUACAAUAUUUUCAUCUAAUUGUGUGCAGUAACAGUUCAGCCGAAAGCUGUCUGGUAUGCUCCCAGCAAUUCUGUAGAUGUCCACCCCUUCAGACACAUCAGGUGGUAUGUCCCAUCCUGGCCCUUCUCCUGGGGCAGGUCUAUCCCCAGGGCCCAUCUUGGGUCCCAGCCCUGGACCGGACCCCUCACCAGGCUCUGUUCACAGUAUGAUGGGACCCAGUCCUGGGCCUGGAACACCCAAUGCACCUCACGGCAUGCAGGGACAAAGUGAAUACUCUCAGGACAGCAUGUAUCCUCUGCACAAGACCAUGGAGGGGAUGAAUGAGAAGACCAUGGCAGAUGCGAUGCACUUUGGUCACAUGAAAGGUGUGGGGAUGAGAUCUCUGCAUAGUGGUAUGGGACCCCCACAGAGUCCGAUGGACCAGCACAGCCAAGGAUACAUAUCCCCGCAUCCAUCCCCCAUGACUGUCCAUGAGCAUGCGUCUAGUCCCAUGUCAGGAGGUGGAGGUGGAGGUGGUGGAGGUGGUGGGGGACCCACCCCACCCCACAUGCCUCCCUCCCAGUCAGGCCCCAUGAUGUCCAUGGAUCCUCAGUCAGCCGUGCCCAACAUGUCCAACAUGAGCCAGCAGGGCCGGGGACCUUCUGCUUUCAGUCCGGUCCAGCUGCAGCAGCUCAGAGCUCAGAUCCUGGCCUACAAGAUCCUGGGUCGUGGGCAACCCCUGCCUGAAAACCUCCAACUGGCUGUUCAGGGCAAGAGGAGUCUACCCAUACUGCAACAGCAACAACAACAACAACAACAACAACAGCAGCAGCAGGCACCUAGUGCUAGUCCUUACAACAGGCCUCCAGGUAUGCCAAUGGCAACUUUGGGUGGUCCCCAGUCAAGUCCCUGCCCUACCCCAACCAUGCAAGGACACACUCAAAGCACAGGACCCAAGCCUUGGUCUGAUGGUCAGGGUGGUGAAAAUCAUGCCAACGUUCAGAAGCACCUGACCCCUGUUGCCAGUGGACGCCCGUCUCCUGCACCACCUCAAGCCUCUGCUGUUCCACCCGGUCCCGUGCCAGGCAGUUCAGUGACCCCUCAGCCUCCCGGGCAGCAGGUGUCCCCCAUGCUCCAGAUGCAGAAACAGAACCGCAUCACACCGAUCCAGAAGCCCCAGGGCCUGGACCCUGUGGGGAUCCUGCAAGAGAGAGAGUAUAGGUUGCAGGCUCGGAUUGCACAUCGAAUCCAGGAACUGGAGAGUUUGCCAGGCUCUCUGCCCCCCGACCUGAGGACUAAAGCCACAGUGGAGCUCAAGGCACUGCGUCUGCUCAACUUCCAGCGGCAGCUGAGACAGGACGUGGUGGCAUGUAUGAGGCGAGACACGACCCUGGAGACGGCCCUCAACUCGAAGGCUUACAGACGCAGCAAGCGGCAGACGCUGAGGGAGGCACGCAUGACGGAGAAGCUGGAGAAACAGCAGAAGCUCGAGCAGGAGAAGAAGCGCAGACAGAAACACCAGGAAUAUCUCAACAGUAUCCUCCAGCAUGCGAAGGACUUCAAAGAGUAUCACCGCUCGGUGUCCGGUAAAAUGCAGAAACUCACCAGAGCUAUCGCCACCUGGCACACCAACACAGAGCGGGAACAGAAGAAGGAGACCGAGAGAAUAGAGAAGGAGAGGAUGAGGAGACUCAUGGCAGAAGAUGAGGAAGGCUACCGAAAGCUAAUUGACCAAAAGAAGGACAAGCGUCUGGCCUACCUGCUGCAGCAGACGGAUGAAUACGUGGCCAACCUCACCACCCUGGUGUACGAACACAAAGCUGCCCAAGCUGCCAAGGACAAGAAGAAGAAGAAAAAGAAGAAGAAAAAGAAGAAGGUGGAUGGAGACUGUGAAGGCACCAGCGCCAUUGGACCUGAUGGAGAGCUCGUGGAUGAGAGCAGCCAGACGAGUGAGCUGCCAGUCAAACUGGUUCAGACGGAGACUGGGAAAGUUUUGCAGGGAACGGAUGCUCCCAAAUCCAGCCAGCUGGAAGCCUGGCUCGAGAUGAACCCUGGGUAUGAAGUUGCCCCGCGGUCGGACAGCGAGGAGAGCAGCUCCGAGUAUGAGGAGGAGGACGAAGAGGAGGGGACUAAAGCAGAGAUGGAGGACAAGAUGAUUCUCGAUCCCCAUGGAGAAGGAAUGUUCGUGGCGGCUACCAAGCACAUUAUCGAGUCUGUUAAGCAGGAUGUGGACGAUGAAUACAGUGUUCCUACUGGACAAACCAGCUCCCAGUCUUACUAUGGUGUGGCCCACGCUGUCAUUGAGAGGGUGGAGAAGCAGUCGGCGCUGCUCGUCAACGGCACACUCAAACAUUACCAGGUCCAGGGGCUGGAGUGGAUGGUUUCCCUGUACAACAACAAUCUAAACGGCAUCUUGGCUGAUGAAAUGGGCCUCGGCAAAACCAUCCAAACCAUCGGCCUUAUCACCUACCUGAUGGAGCACAAGAGGAUCAACGGACCCUUUCUCAUCAUUGUUCCUCUCUCGACUUUGUCUAACUGGGUUUAUGAACUUGACAAGUGGUCACCCUCUGUGGUCAAAGUUGCGUACAAGGGCACCCCUGUGUUGCGCCGUGGGCUUGUGCCUCAACUCCGCAGUGGGAAGUUCAAUGUCUUGCUGACCACUUAUGAAUACAUCAUCAAGGACAAACACAUACUGGCCAAGAUUCGUUGGAAGUACAUGAUUGUGGACGAGGGUCACCGCAUGAAGAACCACCACUGUAAGCUGACCCAGGUGUUGAACACCCACUACGUGGCGCCCCGCCGCCUCCUCCUCACCGGUACACCACUGCAGAACAAGCUGCCUGAGCUGUGGGCCCUGCUCAACUUCCUGCUGCCCACCAUCUUCAAGAGCUGCAGCACCUUCGAGCAGUGGUUCAACGCCCCGUUCGCCAUGACAGGAGAGAGAGUCGACCUAAAUGAGGAGGAGACCAUCCUGAUCAUCCGGCGUUUGCAUAAGGUGCUUCGCCCCUUCCUGCUACGCAGACUCAAGAAGGAGGUGGAGUCACAGCUGCCAGAGAAGGUGGAGUAUGUCGUGAAAUGUGACAUGUCUGCCAUUCAGAAGGUUUUGUACCGCCACAUGCAGAGAGGCAUCCUCCUUACUGACGGCUCAGAGAAAGACAAGAAGGGCAAAGGAGGAUCAAAGACCCUGAUGAACACCAUCAUGCAGCUGAAGAAGAUCUGCAACCAUCCAUACAUGUUCCAGCACAUUGAGGAAUCUUUUGCUGAGCACUUGGGCUUUCAAAAUGGCGUCAUCAGUGGGUUUGAGCUUUAUCGAGCUUCUGGGAAGUUCGAGCUCCUAGAUCGCAUCCUUCCGAAGCUGCAUGCCACCAGCCACAGAGUCCUGUUGUUCUGCCAAAUGACCACUCUCAUGACAAUCAUGGAGGACUACUUCAGCUACCGCAACUUUCAGUAUUUACGUCUCGACGGAACCACCAAGGCUGACGACCGAGCGUUACUGCUGAAGAAAUUUAGUGAGGAAGGAUCUCAGGACUUCAUCUUCCUGCUCAGUACCAGAGCCGGCGGCCUCGGCCUCAACCUGCAGGCUGCUGACACUGUCGUCAUCUUUGACAGUGACUGGAACCCACACCAGGACCUGCAGGCUCAGGACCGGGCUCACCGCAUCGGUCAGCAGAAUGAGGUGCGUGUGCUUCGUCUCUGCACCGUGAACAGUGUUGAGGAGAAAAUCUUGGCGGCUGCCAAAUAUAAACUGAACGUGGAUCAGAAGGUCAUCCAGGCGGGCAUGUUCGACCAGAAGUCCUCGAGCCACGAGCGCCAGGCUUUCCUCCAGGCCAUUUUACUGACUGAGGAGCAGAAUGAGGAAGAAGACGAGAUUCCCGAUGAUGAAACUCUUAACCAGAUGAUAGCCCGUAAUGAAGACGAAUUUGAGCUCUUCAUGCGCAUGGACAUGGACCGACGGCGGGAGGACGCCAGGAACCCAAAGCGUAAGCCUCGCCUCAUGGAGGAGGACGAGCUGCCUUCGUGGAUCAUUAGAGAUGAAGCUGAGGUGGAACGGCUCACGUAUGAAGAGGAGGAGGAGAAGAUGUUCGGCCGAGGGUCACGCUGUCGUCGGGACGUUGACUACAGCGACACACUGACCGAAAAACAGUGGCUGAGGGCCGUUGAAGAUGGAAACCUGGAAGAGAUGGAGGAGGAGAUCCGGCUGAAAAAGCGCAAACGCAAGAGACGGCAAGACAAGGACUCGUCGAGCAGAGAAGACGGGGGCUCCAAGGGCAAGAAGAAACGUGGACGUCCACCAACUGAGAAACUUUCCCCGAACCCGCCCAAAAUCACCAAGCAAAUGAACACCAUCAUCGAUACAGUGAUCAACUACAGGGAUGGGUCAGGAAGACAACUAAGCGAAGUCUUCGUCCAGUUACCAUCCAGGAAGGAGCUCCCAGAAUAUUACGAGCUGAUCAGAAAACCUGUAGACUUUAAAAAGAUCAAGGACCGUGUGAGAAACCAUAAAUACAGAGGUGUGGGAGACCUGGAGAGGGACGUGAUGCUGCUUUGUCACAACGCCCAGACCUUCAACCUGGAGGGAUCCCAGAUAUACGAAGACUCCAUUGUCCUUCAAUCUGUGUUCAAGAGUGCCAGACAGAAGAUUGCCAAGGAUGAAGAGAGUGAAGAUGACAGCGAUGAGGAUGAUGAUGAUGAUGAUGAGGACGAGUCAGAGACUGAGGAAAAUCGAAGUUCCCUAAUUAGAUUUUUUGGGAGGUUUGAGCUGGUCGUCCACAAAAGCUCCAGAAGGAAUGAGAUGAAAAAUGUGGAAAUGAACUGCGAUGUUGAAACCUCCAGGAAAACCUUACCAAGUCUGUGCGGGUCAAGAUUAAGCUGAGUAAGGAGGCGCGCAGCCACGACAAAGGCAAGAAGAGGCAAAGCCGAGGGAAGGCCAAGCCGGUGGUCAGCGACGACGACAGCGACGAAGACUUGGAUGACAAUGACCAGUCAGACAAGAGUGACGAUGACUGAGGACAAGAGGAUAUUGAUUAUAGCACUUGUAAACAAAAAGGGCAAUAUCUUCCAACGACGUUGUUCAGGUUCAUCUUCUGUCAUUUUUUUAUUUUUACUUCAUUUGUCGUCUGUUUGUAGUGUGUUUUGUUGCACUUUCUCCUACCAGCUUGGAAAUGUAUUACUAAUAUUCGAUAAGCUACAGCAAUACCAAUCUGCUUAUAUUCCUGUUUUUAAGACAAUUUUUUAGUAUAUUUUUUAACUCUGCUUUGAAAGCCGAUUUAAAUUCUGUAUGAAAAAAGGAAGAAGAAAAAGAUUUGGUCAUGCUUUACGUGCUUUUGCUUGAUUUGUAAUUGAUUGCUUGCACUUUUAGAACAUUAAUUAUUAAUAUCAAAAAAGAAAAAAAAAAGUGGUAUAAAAACAUGGAAGCCAAGGACACCCAAGUUCAUUUGGAGAGCCACUGGUUAUAAAAAGAAAAGGCAAUCAAUCAAGUUUUUAAUAUUUUAGAUUCAUUGUUUCACCUUGUGUAGUGCCAAAUGUUGAAAUUGAUCGUUCGCUAAACCCCCAACCAGCGACUGUCUAUUCAUAGCUAAGCAACUGUUACUAGGCAUAGCAGGCCUUUCAUGUCAAGCUUUCUAUUUCUUCACAUUUUUAAAGCUGUGGUACGAGAGUACACGACAGUCAGAGUCUGGAGCGUGGUGUCUUUCCAAACCCAAACAUAAAAGGGCAGAAACAGCAUGUUCGUCUGCGUUAGCGUCAAAUGUUUGAUUAUCCCGCUUUAAAAAUACUACUCAUUAUUAAUGAUAACAUACUGUAGCAGUCGAGCGUUAUUUCCAAGGAGAAGAAGAGCUUAACUACUACUCAAGCUAAACAGACAUUAGCAUGUGGGGCUAGCGAGCUUACAGUAGGAACUCACAAGGCCAAGACAAACCCAUCAAUAACUAACUAGGUGACAUUAUUUGGGUUAUUAGACACAUUAAUAAUCCGGUUCAGGACUGGAGCAUGAUGUCGUAUUGAGUCGUUUAGACUUCCUUCACAAGAUUCUUGAUAUAAAAUGAGUCCGUUGAAAACAUUAAAAACGUUAAGCUACAGCUUUAUCAACCAACUCAAAGCUAAUGUUAACCUAAUCUGUAAACUAUUCCCUAAGUUUAUUAAACCAUUUAGUCAACAUUUAAAACUUUUUUUUACAAGAUAACUGAAAACGUUAAAAAGUCAGCUGGAAACAUGUCUUUCAACUUUAUCUCCGUUAGCUAGCUGACUACAUCUGGCAGCGACAGAAGACAUUUCAGCUAAAUCCACGGUCGCCAGCUAGAAAUGAGAAGCCUGCUUUUGUCUGAAAUAAAUAUUCCCCCCAAUAUGAAUGAAAUGUGAAGGAUUUUGAAAGUAAAUCUGCCACCGAGAACAGCGAAGAUGUAAAGCUUGACAGGCGUAGCGACAGUAACUACAAGGAAUGGGGCUUAGCGAACAUUCAGUUAAGAGAUUUUGAGAGUGUAAACUAUUUCUUAAGUCUAUAUAUACGUAUAUCUUACAGCCAGCACAACUAAAUGUCAGUUGUUGCUUGAUGACUUAGACAUUACUUUGUGGUGGCCAUAAAUGCUGAAUUCUUUUUUUUAAACUCCUUUUAUUGAGAGACAUGUAACCGUACAAUUGGUAGGAGGCACAUUUAGGAACAAGUCCAUGUGUUUCAUGUGUUUCAUGUAACCUUUCCUGUAAUGCUUUCAAGUUGUCGUGUAUCAGAGCGGAGGCUAUGCUUCGUUGUUAUCACUUUCUCAGUCACAAAGGAGCGUUUGGGGGAUCUUGAUUGAGAAGCUGGUUGUUUUAGGCUGCACGUUCACUGGGAUACAUCUUGUGCUGUUGAAUAAAAUGAGCAUCUAUUGUAGCUAAAUGUAACUUUUUAAAGCGUCUGAAAACAUGUUGCUCCUGUUUUGAACAGAUUUCAAGGAACCAAGUUUUAGCUGGAUUUUUACAGACUAUGAAAGACAAUAAACAACGGAAAAUAUUACAAAGAAAACAGUAUUAUGGGAUUGAAUUUUUUUAGUUGAAUGACAUUGAAUAUAACAGUAUAUUUUAAACAAUGUACUGAUUUACUGUAUUAGUUUCGAGCUCUCAUUUUAUCAGUUUAUAUGUUGUUUGUAGCAUGAACUCUUUUGGCAAUAUACUGUGUACAUGCAGAUAUAUCUCUUUUGUUUGUGUAACAUGUGCUUGCCGACUCCAUAAGUGUGACUUAAUCUUUGCUUUCUUUGCACAGUGUCUUUGUGGUUGUAUUUCAUAGCCCAGGGCAAAUAAAAUCUCACCGAUUUUCAGCACAAAA